CUUACAGAGUUUAUUGGCAUUCUGUCCACCUCCACCAAAGGAAAUCCAUCUCUCUCUCUCGUUUUCUCUUCUUUUUUAAUGGAGGUGGGCAUCCUGCCAACAAAGCUCUGUUGG
rnacentral:pre_miRNA from 1 species